rnacentral:rRNA from 1 species
CCUACGGGUGGCUGCAGUGGGGAAUAUUGCACAAUGGGCGCAAGCCUGAUGCAGCCAUGCCGCGUGUGUGAAGAAGGCCUUCGGGUUGUAAAGCACUUUCAGCGGGGAGGAAGGCGUUAAGGUUAAUAACCUUGGCGAUUGACGUUACCCGCAGAAGAAGCACCGGCUAACUCCGUGCCAGCAGCCGCGGUAAUACGGAGGGUGCAAGCGUUGAUCGGAAUUACUGGGCGUAAAGCGCACGCAGGCGGUCUGUCAAGUCGGAUGUGAAAUCCCCGGGCUCAACCUGGGAACUGCAUUCGAAACUGGCAGGCUAGAGUCUUGUAGAGGGGGGUAGAAUUCCAGGUGUAGCGGUGAAAUGCGUAGAGAUCUGGAGGAAUACCGGUGGCGAAGGCGGCCCCCUGGACAAAGACUGACGCUCAGGUGCGAAAGCGUGGGGAGCAAACAGGAUUAGAUACCCUGGUAGUC